rnacentral:rRNA from 1 species
UACAAGGUUAAUAGCUGGCAGAAAGUUCUCACAUGGUCGCUCACUGAAGCUAAGCAGGCCUGCGCCCGGUCAACAACCGGAUGGGAGACCACAUAGAAAAGCUAGGUUGCUGCCGGAA